AGCUCCAAUAGCGUAUAUUAAAGUUGUUGCAGUUAAAAAGCUCGUAGUUGGAUUUCUGGUAGGAGCGACCGUGCCGAACUUGAUUGUUCGUGUAUUGUGUUGUCUUCAGCCAUCCUCGUGGAGAACUUUUCUAACAUUAACUUGUUGGGAUUGGGACCCGCGUCGUUUACUGUGAAAAAAUUAGAGUGUUUAAAGCAGGCAUUAGCUUGAAUACAUUAGCAUGGAAUAAUAAGAUAGGACUUUGGUACUAUUUUGUUGGUUUGCAUACCAAAUUAAUGAUCAACAGGAACAGUUUGAGGAUAUUCGUAUGAACAUGUCAGAGGUGAAAUUCUUGGAUUUUUAUCAGACGAACUACUGCGAAAGCAUUUAUCAAGGAUGUUUUCAUUA
rnacentral:rRNA from 1 species